rnacentral:rRNA from 2 species
UUGGAGGGCAAGUCUGGUGCCAGCAGCCGCGGUAAUUCCAGCUCCAAUAGCGUAUAUUAAAGUUGUUGCAGUUAAAAAGCUCGUAGUUGAAUUUCGGGAUCAAUAUUUCGGUCAUGCCGUUGGUAUGCACUGUUAUCAUUGAUUUCUCACCUUCUAAAGAACCGUAAUGCCAUUAAUUUGGUGUUACGGGGAAUUAGGACUGUUACCCUGAAAAAAUUAGAGUGUUUAAAGCAGGCUCACGCUUGAAUACAUUAGCAUGGAAUAAUGAAAUAGGACAUCCGAUUCUAUUUUGUUGGUUUCUAGGAUCGAUGUAAUGAUUAAUAGGGAUAGUUGGGGGCAUUAGUAUUCAAUUGUCAGAGGUGAAAUUCUUGGAUUUAUUGAAGACUAACUACUGCGAAAGCAUUUGCCAAGGAUGUUUUCAUUAAUCAAGAACGAAAGUUAGGGGAUCGAAGACGAUCAGAUACCGUCGUAGUCUUAACCAUAAACUAUGCCGACUAGGGAUCGGAUGAUGUUAAUUUUUUAAUGACUCAUUCGGCGCCUUACGGGAAAC